rnacentral:rRNA from 1 species
CCUACGGGAGGCAGCAGUGAGGAAUAUUGGUCAAUGGGCGCAAGCCUGAACCAGCCAAGUCGCGUGAGGGAUGACGGUCCUAUGGAUUGUAAACCUCUUUUGUCGGGGAGCAAGGCCCGCCACGUGUGGCGGGAAGGAGAGUACCCGAAGAAAAAGCAUCGGCUAACUCCGUGCCAGCAGCCGCGGUAAUACGGAGGAUGCGAGCGUUAUCCGGAUUUAUUGGGUUAAAAGGGUGCGUAGGCGGAAGGUUAAGUCAGCGGUAAAAUGUCGGUGCUCAACACCGGCCUGCCGUUGAAACUGGUCUUCUUGAGUGAGCGAGAAGUAUGCGGAAUGCGUGGUGUAGCGGUGAAAUGCAUAGAUAUCACGCAGAACUCCGAUUGCGAAGGCAGCAUACCGGCGCGCAACUGACGCUGAGGCACGAAAGCGUGGGGAUCGAACAGGAUUAGAUACCCGGGUAGUC